GACCGAUAGUGAACCAGUACCGUGAGGGAAAGGCGAAAAGAACCCCGGCGAGGGGAGUGAAAAAGAACCUGAAACCGUGUACGUACAAGCAGUGGGAGCACGCUUAGGCGUGUGACUGCGUACCUUUUGUAUAAUGGGUCAGCGACUUAUAUUCUGUAGCAAGGUUAACCGAAUAGGGGAGCCGAAGGGAAACCGAGUCUUAACUGGGCGUUAAGUUGCAGGGUAUAGACCCGAAACCCGGUGAUCUAGCCAUGGGCAGGUUGAAGGUUGGGUAACACUAACUGGAGGACCGAACCGACUAAUGUUGAAAAAUUAGCGGAUGACUUGUGGCUGGGGGUGAAAGGCCAAUCAAACCGGGAGAUAGCUGGUUCUCCCCGAAAGCUAUUUAGGUAGCGCCUCGUGAAUUCAUCUCCGGGGGUAGAGCACUGUUUCGGCAAGGGGGUCAUCCCGACUUACCAACCCGAUGCAAACUGCGAAUACCGGAGAAUGUUAUCACGGGAGACACACGGCGGGUGCUAACGUCCGUCGUGAAGAGGGAAACAACCCAGACCGCCAGCUAAGGUCCCAAAGUCAUGGUUAAGUGGGAAACGAUGUGGGAAGGCCCAGACAGCCAGGAUGUUGGCUUAGAAGCAGCCAUCAUUUAAAGAAAGCGUAAUAGCUCACUGGUCGAGUCGGCCUGCGCGGAAGAUGUAACGGGGCUAAACCAUGCACCGAAGCUGCGGCAGCGACGCUGAUGCGUUGUUGGGUAGGGGAGCGUUCUGUAAGCCUGCGAAGGUGUGCUGUGAGGCAUGCUGGAGGUAUCAGAAGUGCGAAUGCUGACAUAAGUAACGAUAAAGCGGGUGAAAAGCCCGCUCGCCGGAAGACCAAGGGUUCCUGUCCAACGUUAAUCGGGGCAGGGUGAGUCGACCCCUAAGGCGAGGCCGAAAGGCGUAGUCGAUGGGAAACAGGUUAAUAUUCCUGUACUUGGUGUUACUGCGAAGGGGGGACGGAGAAGGCUAUGUUGGCCGGGCGACGGUUGUCCCGGUUUAAGCGUGUAGGCUGGUUUUCCAGGCAAAUCCGGAAAAUCAAGGCUGAGGCGUGAUGACGAGGCACU
rnacentral:rRNA from 1 species